UUCAAACACCGGUUCUCGCACGAACACAGACGUUAAGCAACGUCAAGCCUGGUCAGUAUGUAGACGAGUGACCGCUUGGGAAUAACAGGUACUGUAA